GACGUAGGGGGCCAGCGUUGCUCGGAAUUACUGGGUGUAAAGGGUUCGUAGGCGGUGUGGCAAGUCGGGAGUGAAAUCUCUGGGCUCAACCCAGAGGCUGCUUCCGAAACUGCUGUGCUUGAGUGUGGGAGAGGCAAGGGGAAUUCCACGUGUAGCGGUGAAAUGCGUAGAUAUGUGGAGGAAUACCAGUGGCGAAGGCGGCGCGCUGGACCACUACUGACGCUGAGGAACGAAAGCUAGGGGAGCAAACAGG
rnacentral:rRNA from 1 species